GGAAUAACUCAGUUGGUUAGAGUACAAGCCCUUUGUAAUGUGGGUUCGAAUCCCACUCUCAAUCCG
rnacentral:tRNA from 1 species